CUUUACUUCACAUGUUUAUGAAAGCAAAGCUUCACAUAAUACAUACAACUAUGGGCCAAGACAGUUGCAUCCAAGUACUGCUGGUCUCUAGAUACAUACAACUAUGGGGGGCCGCCAUCAUGUCGCAAACCAACCAAAUGUAAAGUUGCAAGAUCCUUAUGUUGGGAGAAGCAAAGUUGGACCGGUUUAAAAAUGUUCUAUAAUCUUGGCUGUGCUGCACCUUUUCUUAAUCUAAACAUAGGAAUGAUCGCAAAUAGGUAGUCACCUCAUUCAUGUCUUCAUCUAUGUUUUGUGUUUACAUUCUAUAGUACUGGAAUGGGUAUAAUCAUUUUUACAGAUACUUGAUAAGUGCUAUGCACCUUUGAUGCAAG